rnacentral:other from 1 species
AUUUAAAUACAUCUCAUUUUAAUGUUCAAC